UAUUCAUUCUCUAUUGCUUGUCGUCGAUGAGAGAGCACAACGGACAAUUUUCUUUAAUUUUUGGAUCAAUUACUUUACGUCCAAUUACCAUCUCAGUGCAUCGUAGACAUGGGUUGUUCCGGAAGUAAGAGCACAGAGACCGCAGCUGCUGGAGAUAGGAAGCCAGAAACGAAGCCUGAAACUAAUCACGAACAGGAAACAGACGCAUCAGGAAAAACAGACGCAACAGAAACAACGGACGCCCAUAAAACAAUUGACGCACCAGAGGAACCAGUAACGCCAGUUCAAAAUAACGCCGAGGAGCAAACAGAACAAGUAACAGAAAAUAGUCCAGUAGAGGCACCGCUUGAGGCUGAAGAAACAUAAUGAAAAUACAACGACACAGACAGAAAUCUGAGAGAUUGAGUGUUGAUUGUAUUUGAGACCAGAUAUCGCAAUAACUCAUCAUGGAUCAAAAUCAUGUUUUUUUUUCUAUUUCAACCGCUGUUUUAUUUUUUUUUUUUAAUUUAAAUAUGUAUUAUGUAAGAGCUAAAUCUGCACAUUGCAGAUCUUUUUUCUGGCUUCUGUUAUAUAAAUUAUUAUUUAGACCUCUAUGGUCUUGAAAAGCCCUAUACCCAACCCUCUAGAUCAUCGGAUGGCAGAAAUAUUAUAUGGGUUAGAACCUCGCGCCAUUUCAGGGGCGGAUCCAGGGGGUUUAUUGUUAAGGAAAUUUAAAAGUUGACAAUGCAUGAUGCCAUCAUCGUCACUAAAUUACGAAGGCAUCCAUACACAUUGAGCUUUUUAAAGAGAGAAAUCCAACUUCCUGUUUGAUGUCAAUUUUUAUAAUGAAUUAAUAGGAUCACAUUGUGAUUCAAUUUCAUUGAUGCAAAGCAUUAAUUGUGAUAUCACACAUGUCUAUAUUAUCAUUACAUCGCGCUUUGAAUGCCAACCCCAUUCCACUAUCUUAUGAGUAAGGAUAACGCACAAGACGGUUACACUUUUCUCAUAAAGUUAUGUUUUACCCCCCCCCUCUCUCUCUCUCUCUGGAUCCGCCCCUGCAUUUCAUAAUUGAACGUUAAAAUCUGUAUUAUCGUAGCAGUUUAACUGUCGGUCGGUCAACCAUUUAUCUAAAUCUUACAUAAUGCAUUUUUAAGCUUGCAAACAAAGCUGUGAUAUUUUAUAUUUUAAAAAAGCACCACGCACCAGAUAUCUAUGUUUGUAUAUUUUCAAUAUUUGUUUUUGAUGUUAAAAGGUCGCGAACGAAUAGGGGUGUUUUUCUAUGAUUGAUUUAAAAUUUGUAAAUUUACUCAUGGGCGUCACACAUG